rnacentral:lncRNA from 1 species
CGUUGCUACCGCUGCCAACGCCAUAACCGAGUAUAAUACUGCCCGACACAUAUACGACAUACGUCUUAUUCGAUAUAGAAGACUAUAUAUUUGAUUGGCCAAUAGUUCUAAAAUAGACCGUUUAAUUACUGAUUUAUAUAUGGCAAAACACAACCGAAGGUUGAUGUCCAAAUUCGGAAUGACCGUUCAAUCAACUGUUGUAACUGAUUCAAAUCUUAUGCAGAAUCUGAGGAAAGCUACUUUUAUCUCAAUCGUAACCAUUUACGAGUACUGGCCGCACGCGGAAAUCUUCCUUACGGCCAAUCGACGAUUGAACAGACGAUUCUCCAUUUUUAUUGGUCCAUCGACCUUUGGAACCUCGCUGUUGUUGCAACGAUGAUGAUCUCGAACUAUUCGUAUUAUUUGGUCCUGUUGUAUUUUCUGAACGAUUACCACCUGAAAAUAAAAUACAUUUAUCAACGUGA